rnacentral:rRNA from 1 species
CUCCUACGGGAGGCAGCAGUGAGGAAUAUUGGUCAAUGGGCGAGAGCCUGAACCAGCCAAGUAGCGUGAAGGAUGACUGCCCUAUGGGUUGUAAACUUCUUUUAUAAAGGAAUAAAGUCGGGUAUGCAUACCCGUUUGCAUGUACUUUAUGAAUAAGGAUCGGCUAACUCCGUGCCAGCAGCCGCGGUAAUACGGAGGAUCCGAGCGUUAUCCGGAUUUAUUGGGUUUAAAGGGAGCGUAGAUGGAUGUUUAAGUCAGUUGUGAAAGUUUGCGGCUCAACCGUAAAAUUGCAGUUGAUACUGGAUAUCUUGAGUGCAGUUGAGGCAGGCGGAAUUCGUGGUGUAGCGGUGAAAUGCUUAGAUAUCACGAAGAACUCCGAUUGCGAAGGCAGCCUGCUAAGCUGCAACUGACAUUGAGGCUCGAAAGUGUGGGUAUCAAACAGGAUUAGAUACCCUGGUAGUCCACACGGUAAACGAUGAAUACUCGCUGUUUGCGAUAUACAGCAAGCGGCCAAGCGAAAGCGUUAAGUAUUCCACCUGGGGAGUACGCCGGCAACGGUGAAACUCAAAGGAAUUGACGGGGGCCCGCACAAGCGGAGGAACAUGUGGUUUAAUUCGAUGAUACGCGAGGAACCUUACCCGGGCUUAAAUUGCAACCGAAUAUGGCGGAAACGCUAUAGCUAGCAAUAGCGGUUGUGAAGGUGCUGCAUGGUUGUCGUCAGCUCGUGCCGUGAGGUGUCGGCUUAAGUGCCAUAACGAGCGCAACCCUUGCCGAUAGUUACUAACAGGUUAUGCUGAGGACUCUGUCGGGACUGCCAUCGUAAGAUGUGAGGAAGGUGGGGAUGACGUCAAAUCAGCACGGCCCUUACGUCCGGGGCUACACACGUGUUACAAUGGGGGGGUACAGAGGGCUGCUACCACGCAAGUGGAUGCCAAUCCCAAAAACCUCUCUCAGUUCGGAUUGAAGUCUGCAACCCGACUUCAUGAAGCUGGAUUCGCUAGUAAUCGCGCAUCAGCCACGGCGCGGUGAAUACGUUCCCGGGCCUUGUACACACCGC